rnacentral:rRNA from 1 species
CGCGUAGGCGGUCGGUCAAGUCUGGGGUGAAAUCUUUCGGCUCAACCGGAAACGUGCCUCGGAUACUGACUGGCUGGAGGGAGGUAGGGGUCGACGGAACUUCCGGUGGAGCGGUGAAAUGCGUAGAUAUCGGAAGGAACACCGGUGGCGAAAGCGGUCGACUGGACCUUUUCUUGACGCUGAGGCGCGAAAGCCAGGGGAGCAAACG